rnacentral:rRNA from 1 species
UACGGAGGGUGCAAGCGUUGUCCGGAAUCACUGGGCGUAAAGCGCACGUAGGCGGCUUUCUAAGUCGGGGGUGAAAUCCUGGAGCUCAACUCCAGAACUGCCUUCGAUACUGGAGAGCUCGAGUCCGGGAGAGGUGAGUGGAACUGCGAGUGUAGAGGUGAAAUUCGUAGAUAUUCGCAAGAACACCAGUGGCGAAGGCGGCUCACUGGCCCGGUACUGACGCUGAGGUGCGAAAGCGUGGGGAGCGAACAGG